GGUUAAGCGACUAAGCGUACACGGUGGAUGCCCUGGCAGUCAGAGGCGAUGAAGGACGUGCUAAUCUGCGAAAAGCGCCGGCGAGGUGAUAUGAACCUUUGACCCGGCGAUGUCCGAAUGGGGAAACCCAGUGUGAUUCGUCACACUAUCGUUAACUGAAUACAUAGGUUAACGA
rnacentral:rRNA from 1 species